rnacentral:rRNA from 1 species
AUUGAACGCUAGCGGGAUGCCUUACACAUGCAAGUCGAACGGAGUGGCGAACGGGUGAGUAAUGUAUCGGAACGUGCCCCGUAGCGGGGGAUAACUACGCGAAAGCGUAGCUAAUACCGCAUACUAUUGGAGCGGCCGAUAUCGGAUUUGCUAGUUGGUGGGGUAACGGCUCACCAAGGCGACGACCCGUAGCUGGUUUGAGCGGACGACCAGCCACACUGGGACUGAGACACGGCCCAGACGCCUACGGGAGGCAGCAGUGGGGAAUUGUGGACCAUGGGGGAAACCCUGAUCCGGCCAUCCCGCGGGUGGGAUGAAGGCCUUCGGGUUGUAAAGCACUUUUGGCAGGAAAGCGGUGCCUGCAGGAUAAGCACCGGCUAACUACGGGCCAGCCGCCGCGGUAAUUC